UUACUUACCUGGCAGGGGAGGUACCACGAUCACAAAGAUGGUUUUCCCAGGAUGAGGCCUAUCCAUUGCACUCCGGGUGUGCUGACUCCUGAGAUUUUCCCAAAUGUGGGAAACCAAGUGCAUAAUUUGUGGUAGUGGGGGACUGUGUUCACGCUCUCCCCCC